CUGGAAGUAUUUCUGGAAGUGUUCUAUGGAAUGGGUGUAAGGUUUUGGGUUUUGUUUUGUUUUUUUUCCCAUUAGUUUUUUUUUGUUUUGGGGAUGUUUUUAGAGAUUGGGUCUCAUGUUGCCCAGGCUGGACUCAAACUCCUGGGUUCAGAUGAUUCUCCCACCUCAGCCUCCCGAGUAGCUGGGACUACAGGUACGCACCACUGCACGUGGCUGAACAUUAGCUUUAACCUGCAUUUGUGCAAUAUCCUGUCUGCUGUUUAGGAGCUGGAGUCCAGCACUUGGACUUGUUUGGAUCCCCAACUGCCUUGCUCUGAUGCUGUAGCAGAGGCUCGGGGGAACAUUCUUAGCAGGAAGAGAGCUCACUUCACCAUCUUCUUGGGGAGACAACAAGUACAUCCAUGUAACAAUGAUACCUUCAGUUGCCAAAGGGAGCAUUUCAAUUGACCAGCAGCUAAUAUCUGAUGAGGACCCGUGGCUGACCGACAUGAAGGUGGGCUCAUGAUCCCUCUGGUCUCCAUGCCCUUCUGAGACGCCCCCCAUUGGGUGUGGGUGGGGCCUGUGACUUGCUUCUAACUAACAGAAUAUGGCAAAGGUGACAGGAUGGAUGUGACUAUGUGUACGUUAUAUGAAAUUGUAAUGACAGUUUUGCUAGGAUGCCUCCUUCCUUGUUGGCUUACGAGCAAGAAACUGAUGCCCUCAGUCCAACAACCUGCUCGUAGCUGAAUUCUGCAAACAAGUACACGAGCUUGGAAGAAGAUCCUUCCCCAGUGAAGCCACAGAUGAGACCCUAGCCCUGGCCUGCACCUUGAUCACAGGCUUGGAGAGGACCCAGUUGAGCCAUGCUCAGACUCCUGUAAGAAAAUUGUGAGAUAGACUGGGUGCGGUGGCUCACGCCUAUAAUCCCAGCACUUUGGGAGGCCGAGGCAGGCGGAUCACCUGAGGUCAGGAGUUCAAGACCAGCCUGGCCAACAUGGUGAAACCUCAUCUCUACAAAAAUACAAAAAUUAGCUGGGCAUGAUGGCAGGUACCUGUAAUCCCACCUACUUGGGAGGCUGAGGUGGGAGAAUCACUUGAACCCGGGAGGGGGAGGUUGCAGUGAGCCGAGAUGGCACCAUUGCACUCCAGCCUGGGUGACAGAGAGACUCCGUCUCAAAAAAAAAAAAAAAAAAAAAAAAGAAAAGAAAAGAAAAAGAAAAUUGUGAGGCCGGGCAUGGUGGCUCACACCUGUAAUCCCAGCACUUGGGGAGGCUGAGGCAGGUGGAUCACAAGGUCAGGAGUUCGAGACGUGCCUGACCAACAUGGUAAAACCCCGUCUCUACUAAAAAUACAAAAAUUAGCCAGGUGUGGUGGCACACGCCUAUAAUCCCAGCUACUCAGGAGGCUGAGGCAGGAGGAUCGCUUGAACCUGGAACCUGGAAGGCAGAGGUUGCAGUGAGCCAAGAUCUCGCCACAGCACUCCAACCUGGGCGACAG
rnacentral:lncRNA from 10 species